AGUUUAGGGAGCUACCAUUUGAUUUUUAUGGGGGGGCUAGGAUGAAAUUUGAAAAAAAUAGGCAGGACAGGAGUUUUGAGUAAAAAAAAAAAGGCAGGAUGUGACACUUGCAAAAAAAAAAAGUCAGGACGACAAUUAAGGUAAAAAAAAGUCAGGAUAAACUAUAAAAAAAAAGGCAGGACCGAUUAGAGUGAAAAAUAAAAAGGCAGGACAGAGAUUACAGCUAAAAAAAAUGCAGGACAAAAUUUUUCAUCCUAGCCCCCCAUAAAAAUCAAAUGGUAGCUCCCUUAUAC
rnacentral:lncRNA from 1 species